AUAUUGCGCAAUGGAGGGAACUCUGACGCAGCGACGCCGCGUGAGCGAUGAAGGUCUUCGGAUCGUAAAGCUCUAUCCUUGGGGAAGAAGGUCUUCGGACUUGACGGUACCUAAGGAGGAAGCCCCGGCUAACUACGUGCCAGCAGCCGCGGUACUACGCAGGGGGCAAGCGUUGUCCGGAAUUAUUGGGCGUAAAGGGUGCGUAGGCGGCCUUUUAAGUCAGAUGUGAAAGGCUACGGCUUAACCGUAGUUAGCAUUUGAAACUAAAAGGCUUGAGUGCAGGAGAGGAGAGUGGAAUUCCUAGUGUAGCGGUGAAAUGCGUAGAUAUUAGGAGGAACAUCAGUGGCGAAGGCGACUCUCUGGUCUGUAACUGACGCUGAGGCGCGAAAGCGUGGGGAUCAAACA
rnacentral:rRNA from 1 species